UACGGAGGGUGCAAACGUUGCUCGGAAUCAUUGGGCGUAAAGCGCACGUAGGUGGCCUGUUAAGUCGGGUGUGAAAUCCCUGGGCUCAACCCAGGAAGUGCACUCGAAACUGGCAGGCUUGAGUACUGAAGAGGGUCGCGGAAUUCCCGGUGUAGAGGUGAAAUUCGUAGAUAUCGGGAGGAACACCAGUGGCGAAGGCGGCGACCUGGGCAGAUACUGGCGCUGAGGCGCGAAAGCGUGGGGAGCAAACAGG
rnacentral:rRNA from 1 species